rnacentral:lncRNA from 1 species
CAGGUUUGUUGGAGAGUUUUCUUUAAUGUCAAGAGAAGAUGACCAUGUUUCUUCUAAUGCAGCCCCCUCAGGUUUUUAUGGUACCCAGAUGGAAGACUGUCCAAGGAACUGGGAAAGAUGAAGGAGGUGGUGGACAGAAGAUUCAGACUGAAAAAAACCCUGCUAGUGAGGAAGUGGGAUUUUGAUACUUUCAACUUCUGAUAAAACAGUAUUUGGUAAUUUUCUAGUUUUGAAGUACAUUCACCAUUGUAGCAGAAGGUACCUUGCCAUUACAUGUUAACUUAACAGAAGACACAAGCACCAUUUGAAGCAAGAGAACGUAUCUUGCAUACUUUCAGAUGUAAUUUGAAGGUUUGUGCAGAAUUGUCCUGCAAUAAGAGUUUAAUUACAGGCUUAGUUCAUAUGGGUAUGGGAUGGACCCUGCUGGUUUCUGCUCCUUUAGAGGGCUUCAUAGGGACCCCGUUUUGUGGAAAGAACUAUGUUAAGAAAGACUGUGCUGGGU